rnacentral:misc_RNA from 1 species
UGGAUAUGUGGGUUCUGCUCAACGAUAAACGGGUCACCGCACUUGUCGCUGAUGGUGUGCAGGGUUUCCCCUUCUCCAACGACGUAUAUUUCAUCACAAGGUCGGUCCAGAAGCUGGUUCCCUUUAACAGGCUCAGCCGUUGAAGAAUUCUCCCUAAUAGACGCCAACAAUAUAAGGCCCAAUAGGAUUAUGGCACAGUACCACGAAACUGCAUCGGCUAUGGCUAUUGAGACCCUGAUGGUUUUCCUUCUGGAAGUCGAAGCCAUAUCUUUGUAUGUGAGAAAGAAAAGAGAGGAGGGUUUUUGGUGGAUGGAACAGAGAGGGAAUUUAAUAUUGAAGCCUGAAAAUAGCUAGAAAUCGAUCGAGCGCGUAUAUAG